GCACCUUGUUACGGCAGCGCAUACUAAAAUUUGAUAGAUACAGAGAACAUUAGCAUGGCCCCUGUAAAAGGAUGACACGCAAAUCUGUGGAGCAGGACCUGGAGUCU
ensembl:snRNA U6 U6 spliceosomal RNA